rnacentral:sRNA from 1 species
UUGCACACACAAAGUUGCAGCAAACCCCUUUGCGAACCUCAUGAUUGUCCCCCUUUGGCUCCGGUCGGGGCGGCUCUGCCGUCCCGGCCGGCCGGCCAGCCCAAGUCCCCGGGGGCUUGGGGCCCCCCUCCCUCCCGGGAGCGGGGUCUCAUCGCCCGGGGCGCUUGGUGUUUCCAAACCCGAUUGCGCAAUGCAUCAACACUUUCAACAUGACUGAGUAUAAGAAUCGGGGCACAUCAUCGGGUGGCUCUUGUUGACCGAGAGCCAUCCAGUGCCGCCCCCGAGUUGUAAUAAUCAAAAAACAACUCUCAGCAACGGAUAUCUUGGCUCUUGCAACGAUGAAGAACGCAGCGAAAUGCGAUACGUAGUGUGAAUUGCAGAAUUCCGCGAAUCAUCGAGUCUUUGAACGCAAGUUGCGCCCGAGGCUUGACCAAGGGCAUUUCUGCCAGAGCGUCACCGCGACACCCACCGAUCCACUCCGAGUGAGUGGACCGAGUGGAAGUGGCCAUCCGAAUGGGGCCGCCCCGGGACUUCGGUCCUCGGGGGUGGCAGAUUGGGUUGGCUGAAAUGGAGGGAAUUUGGCCGCCGUGGUGACACAGCCCGCGAUCAGGUGAUCCAGGCUCCGCCUUGGAACUCAAACGUGCGUCGGUUGUGGCUCCCAGUUGGCACUCGGAUUCCAAAGCAGGUCCCUCCCGCGACCGACACUCGGCUCCCGAGCCCGGUGGAAGGAGCGGGAGGAAAACGUCACGCAUCAGACCUCUGAUCAGAAAAGACUACCCGCUGAGUUUAAGCAUAUCACUAAGCGGAGGAGAAGAAAC